UUUAAGACCCAGAGGUUGUAUUUGUCGAGAAAGGAAAUGUUGCUUUUUGACAGAUGAGAGAAAUCCCCUCAGUGUUGGCCAUGAGAGGAGAGAAGUGAAGUCAGUCACCUGGCGGUGAAGGACAGUAAAACAGGAAAGAAGGGGGAAAAAUCUCUUCCCCCUUUCUCUCGCUUUUCUGCAAAGAGAUCCACCUCCUAAUUUCUUCUCAACUCUUCUAGCAUAACCCUUCAAAGGAGACCAUUCCCUACAGACUUUCUUAUCUUUAUUUUUAUUGAGAAAAUAUCUUUAGCAGCAAAACAAUUUUUUGAGUCUAGGCAGGACUUGGCGGAUUUUCUUUCCCGUGAAAUUGAUCAUUGCUAAUAUCUGAGGCUCACAGGUGCUACAUUAGCUACCAGAAUAACGGAGACAGGCUGUCAUGAUAUACUCUUCUCAUCAAUUUGAACACAUUUGCCUGAAAUUUGCUGCAGGAUGCUGUCCAGUGAAGCAGUUUUUUUUCCUUGGGAUGCAGCAGUUCGCUGCUUUCUAAGCUUAUUGCAGACGAAGAAGUAGUCAGAUUAAACUGAGUGGAUUUUUUUAUUAUUAUUUUUGUCUUCUCUCCUCCUUUCAUUGACACGGGAUUUACCGGGGAAAGAUCACCUGUCUCUAUAAUCCGUCAGGGAGUAAAAAAAGUGAAUUAUUAUUUUAUUUAUUUAUUUUUAACCGGUGGAGGAGGCGUGAUCACGGAGAAUGAGACUGAGAGGAGCUGCCAGGGUUUGGAGGACAAGGCUGAGUUUGGGCUGGAAACUGGGAGUCUAGAUUUUUUAUUUCAUUUUAUUUUUAUUUUUUUAAAUUUUGGCACAACUUCCCCGGUUCGCCUCCGUGUCGUUUAGUUUCAUUCUAUGGACCGAUCCACAAGCCUGGACAUUGAGGAGCUCAAGAUGACACGAGAACAGUAUAUACUGGCAACACAGCAGAACAGCCUGCCAAGGAUUGAAAAUCCGCAACUUUAUCCAGUGGGAAUUUAUGGAUGGCGAAAGAGGUGCUUAUACUUCUUUGUCCUCCUGCUGUUGGUUACCAUGAUUGUUAACUUAGCAAUGACAAUAUGGAUUUUGAAGGUCAUGAAUUUCACAGUGGAUGGAAUGGGGAAUCUGAGAGUCACCAAAAAAGGAAUUCGACUUGAAGGCAUAUCUGAAUUUCUGCUUCCAUUGUAUGUGAAAGAAAUACAUUCCCGAAAGGAUAGCCCAAUGGUCUUACAGUCUGACAGGAACGUAACAGUGAAUGCAAGAAAUCACAUGGGACAGUUAACUGGACAACUGACUGUAGGAGCUGAUGCUGUGGAGGCCCAGUGUAAGAGAUUUGAAGUGAGGGCAAGUGAAGGUGAAAAGGUGCUGUUUUCUGCAGAUGAAGAUGAGAUCAUCAUUGGAGCUGACAGACUCAAAGUAACAGGCACAGAAGGGGCAGUGUUUGGGCACUCUGUGGAGACACCCCAUAUCAGAGCAGAACCUUCCCAAGACCUCAAACUUGAGUCUCCAACUAGAUCUUUGAUAAUGGAAGCACCAAGGGGAGUACAAGUUAGUGCGGCUGCAGGAGACUUAAAGGCAACCUGUAGGAAAGAACUGCACUUGCAGUCCACGGAAGGGGAGAUAUUUUUAAAUGCAGAUAUAAUCCGACUGGGAAAUCUACCAAUGGGUUCCUUUUCAUCUUCCCCAUCUAGCUCCUCAACUCCUCGACAGACUAUCUAUGAGCUCUGCGUUUGUCCCAAUGGUAAACUGUACCUUUCCCCGGCAGGAGCAGGCUCUACUUGUCAAUCCAGUAGCAACAUCUGUUUGUGGAGCUGAAAUGACUCCAGUUUCUCCUCACACCAGAAUAGCCUUUUGUUACUGUCCCUCUGCUUCACAGUUCUGCUCGGUUUCCUUGUGACAAGUUUGAAGCUUCAAAUGGCCCGCAGAGCAACUUCUUCCAGUAAUCCAGGGAAUGUAAAACAGAUAAAAAAUGUUUCCUAUUGUGGGAAGAUGACUUGAUAACAAUAAGGUAAGUGUGCUUUUAAAUAUUAUCUUUUCAGUUAUCCCACCCAGCUCAUAGUUUGUGCUGUGUCUAACUAUAAGAACACCAAUGCAAUGACUUGCUUCCAAAGCUAACUCUGAAGUUGGGGAGAGUAGUAUUAAAGGGGUAAAAAAUAAAUGAAAAAAUAAAAAGUGAAACUUGGCAACCAUAAUAAUGUGAUUAAUUUUCUGUUUUAGUAUCAUCUAUAGGGUUUAUUUUGUUCACUACAGGUGACAUUCACCCUUAUGAAGAAGACCAGCACAAGGUCUAUACACUGCUUCACAGCUAUUUGGCCUUGUUCUAGUCUUAUGUGUAGGGAUGAAUUUCACUAAAAAGGAAGAGCUAUCCCCUCCGCUACUGCAUAGUCAAACAAGGAUUUUAAUUAGACUACUUCAUUUGCUCAGAUUUCUUCAGCUGUUAACUAUUGAGUUUUGAGACUUUAAUUCCUUGUCUUUAAUAAAGAAAAAUACUUCUGUUGUUAGUCAUUUGUUUUUCCUUUUUCUGGUACGCUAAUUCUCUGCAAUACAGGAAAUAAAGUAGCAGCAUUGUAAGAAAACUGUAGGAAUUGUCAAUGUAUACUGGAUCUUCAAACAACCUUAUGAGGAAAGAGAUAUCUUUCAUUUCGGCACAUAGGUAACAGAAUGUAUGUGUAAAACUCAUCAACACAAAUGAUAUUCCAAGGAGAGGAGGACACCGCUGAAUGAGUGUGUGUCUGAGCUCAUACAUUCUAUCACCUGUGCCCACGUGCGUAUGCUGAUAAUUUAAAAGAUGGGCAAAAAAUUGCAGAGAAUCAUUGAUUCGGUGAAUUUAACCCUUUGUGCUGUUCUCAAAGUGUUCGUGAAUAGACUGAAUAGUUCUUUGCUGUUUAAAGUGUAUUGCGGAAUGUUUGUGCAAACAAAUGUCAGCCUCUGGGAACGGCUUGCAAUAGUUUGCUGUGAGUCUUCCCUUGAGUAUUCUCCAUUCAUGAUAUUCGAACUGUAUGACUGGUCACCUGAAUACAGUAGAGUUUUGGUUCCCUGGCUGAAUGACCUAACUUGUAUAAACUAAUUCUACUUCUGCGUGAACUGAAAUUCAUUACAUUGCAAAAACAAAUGUAAUUAUGUGAUGAGAUUAAUUUUAGCGACAAGACUGAAUUCAUUUUCCACCAACAUUUGUAUGUUCAGGGUUGCCAACUCUUGCAAAUGUUAAUGUGAGUCUUGUGAAAUUGGACAUUUUACUUUAAGCCCCAGCUCCUGGAAACAGGUGAAUAUG